GACGAACGCUGGCGGCGUGCCUAAUACAUGCAAGUAGAACGCUGAAGGAGGAGCUUGCUUCUCCGGAUGAGUUGCGAACGGGUGAGUAACGCGUAGGUAACCUGCCUGGUAGCGGGGGAUAACUAUUGGAAACGAUAGCUAAUACCGCAUAAGAGUAGAUGUUGCAUGACAUUUGCUUAAAAGGUGCAAUUGCAUCACUACCAGAUGGACCUGCGUUGUAUUAGCUAGUUGGUGGGGUAACGGCUUACCAAGGCGACGAUACAUAGCCGACCUGAGAGGGUGAUCGGCCACACUGGGACGGAGACACGGCCCAGAGUCCUACGGGAGGCAGCAGUAGGGAAUCUUCGGCAAUGGACGGAAGUCUGACCGAGCAACGCCGCGUGAGUGAAGAAGGUUUUCGGAUCGUAAAGCUCUGUUGUAAGAGAAGAACGAGUGUGAGAGUGGAAAGUUCACACUGUGACGGUAUCUUACCAGAAAGGGACGGCUAACUACGUG
rnacentral:rRNA from 1 species